rnacentral:snRNA from 1 species
AUAUUUACCUGGCAGGGGAGGCACCGCGAUCAAGAAGGUGGUUUCCCCAGGGUGAGGCUUAUCCAUGGCCCUCUGGGUUUGUUGACCUCUGCAGUUUCCCCAAAUGCAGGAAACUCGACGGCAUAAUUUGUGCUAGUGGGNGACUGUGUUCGCGCUUUCCCCUA